rnacentral:rRNA from 1 species
GACGAACCGUACGAACGUUAUUCGGAAUCACUGGGCUUAAAGGGUGCGUAGGCUGCGCGGAAAGUUGGGUGUGAAAUCCCUCGGCUCAACCGAGGAACUGCGCCCAAAACUGCCGUGCUCGAGGGAGACAGAGGUGAGCGGAACUUAGGGUGGAGCGGUGAAAUGCGUUGAUAUCCUAAGGAACACCGGUGGCGAAGGCGAUCACCUGGGGUUGUUCUGACGCUGAGGAGCGAAAGCUAGGGGAGCAAACGGG